rnacentral:tRNA from 1 species
GCAGGGGUUGCCGAGUUUGUCAAAGGCGCCGGGCUUAAGAUCCGGUCUCGAUGGGUUCGUGAGUUCGAAUCUCACCCCCUGCACCA